UCUGAGCAAGAGCAAUAGUGGCCGCUUCCACUUCGCUCGCUACAAAGUAGCUGACUCGCCGCUUGGACCGCGCGGUCAGUGAUGUGCCUUUACUAAUAAAUCGAUUCUGGUUACCGAUAAACCGAUUAUGAAAUAUUGACGUGAGUCCCUCCCUAGUGAUAGUGAAUGUGUCAAAGUUAUAAAGAAGUGUGAAGUGGAAUAAUAAGUUCAUCAUGACGGAAUUCUAUGGAUCUUGGAGCGACGGCCGUCCUGACGGCGAUGGCGAAGGGCUCGAGAUGGAGGAGACUGUGGUCGAAACAAUCACGACCACGACGACCAGGAAGAUGGUCCCGUCGAAAUCGUCGUCGACGAAAACUACCACAAUGACCACUCCAGCAAAGCUGUAUGGACGAGAAUUGUCAGCCUAUGACGAAGUGGAUGUGGAUGAAUUACUGUCGAAAUUGUCACAGGAAGAACUCACCAUGCUUGCCAAGGAAGUAGACCCUGAUGACAAUUUCCUUCCUCCCUCACAGCGGAAUAACUAUGCGUGCGAAAAGGACCCCACAGGCCCUCUGAACCGUAAGAAAUUGAUAGAGCACAUCAACAAACAGGCACUAGAGACACCCGAUCGGCCUGAAGUGAAACCCUACGUGCCUGGAGUUAUACGUGGCAAGAAGUGGAUCCCGCCACCGCCUCCUGAGAAGGUGCGUGAUGCUGAAGAGCAGAUCACCAUUGACCUUGGAGAUGAAUAUGAACAGGCUCUCACGUCUGCCACGCAGGAGGAAAUCAUUGAUUUGGCUGCUAUCCUUGGCUUCCAUUCGAUGAUGAACCAGGACCAGUACCACGCUUCUUUAUUGAACAAAGGUCAGCCCGUCGGACUCGGCUGGGAUGGUAUCACUAAAGCCACAAAGCCUAAGGUGUAUCCAAUGGAUCCUCCCAAUGACACAGACCCUGAGGAGACCAUCAAGAGGGUACAGGAGAACGACCCCAAGCUCACAGAUCUCAAUUGGAAUAAUAUUAAGAACAUAAGCGACGAGAAGUUCGAGAAGCUGUUCGAAGGUUUGAAGAGCAAUACUCAUUUGGAGGUGCUGUGCCUGGUGAACGUGGGUCUGACGGACCGCACGGCGCAGCUGCUGGCGGACGCGCUGCGAGCCAACAGCACGCUGCGGGUUGUCAAUGUGGAGACCAACUUCAUCAGCCCGCCCGGUGUGGUGCAGCUCGUCGCAGCCCUCCUCACCACCACCAGCGUUGAGGAGUUCCGCGCCUCCAACCAGCGGUCGCAAGUGUUAGGCAACAAGAUAGAGAUGGAGAUCACAUCCCUGGUGGAGCAGAACCCCACGCUGCUGCGGCUCGGCCUGCACCUCGAGUACAGCGACGCGCGCCAUCGCGUCGCCAGCCAUCUGCAGCGGAACAUCGACAGAAAUUGCCGAAUGCAAAAGCGGGCUAGAGCAUCGCUUAGCUUGCGGCUGCCGCGAAGCCGGCCGUCGGGCGCGGGCGUGGACGCCGACCUCCUCGUGACGCCACCCAGCGUCGAAGAAAAAACGCCCACCAGAGAGCCGGCUAAGACUGUGAUCACUGAGACCGUCCACGGCUCGAUCGUGGUCGAAGCGAAAAGCCCGGAUACAGAUAUCAGCUCGGGCUUGCAGGAAGAUAAUUUCCCGUCCGCCGAUAGCAAUAACCCCGACCCCGCAGAGGGGAGCUUAGGACGAAAUAAUUUGUAGAAACGGCCAAAAUAAUGGUACGCCAGCAACGCCGGAGCCAGAACAGCGCUUAGAGUCCUGAACUACACGUGUGGCGGCCGUAUUCGCCGCUUGAGUCAGUUCACCCGCAGCCCCAGCUGGGUGGUGGGCUGGAUCCCGUGAGCCGCCGCACCAGUUAGCACUCUGUCCAACUCUUUGUCACUGUGUAGUACACAACACUAACGCCCCGACACGAACAUACGCUUCGAAACACGUAAUCCUAGGGGCCGAAUUCUGACGCGCGCUAGAAAUAACCAGAUUUGACUGCUUUGAACUGGUGCAGACGCUGAACAUGCUACUCUUUUAUAUUUAUUUAAUUAAAACUAAAUGCUUCCGCAGCAUUUUUUUUAAUAUCUGCACAUAAGGUCAGCAUGUUUUUUUCAUCUAUUUCCUUACAUAAGGUGCUUUUUAAACCUUAGGUUUUAUUUCAUUAAUUAAAAAAAGUAUGGUGCAAUUUAAUGUUAAAACAGGACUGUCUAUAUCUCAAUAGAAUUUCGGCUCUUAGAUGUUACUUGACAAUUUUUAAUAACCUUUAGACUUUAGCAUUUAGAAUUUAUAUCGACUUUGCCUUUGGUGUCUUAAAUAUUUUCAACUAGACAAGAUGUAAGCUUAAGGUGUUAUAAAAUUAAAGCUUCAACUUCAAUAAGUUUUUACUCUAAAAAAAUUUAAAUGUAUUUGCUAUUUGUGAUUUUAUAGAUAUUUUAGAAUUUUUAAUGGUGUCAUUGAUAACUAUACAAUGGUUACACACGAUUUUAUAGUUUUACUACACAAUUUCAAAGAUCAGUUGACAGUUACAAAUAUGAGUUACGAUAUGAAUGGUGUAAGGAAA